UAGGGAAUCUUCCACAAUGGGCGAAAGCCUGAUGGAGCAACGCCGCGUGUGUGAUGAAGGGUUUCGGCUCGUAAAACACUGUUGUAAGAGAAGAAUGACAUUGAGAGUAACUGUUCAAUGUGUGACGGUAUCUUGCCAGAAGGGAACGGCUAAAUACGUGCCAG
rnacentral:rRNA from 1 species